rnacentral:rRNA from 1 species
UACGUAGGGGGCAAGCGUUAUCCGGAUUUAUUGGGUUUAAAGGGUGCGUAGGCGGAUUGAUAAGUUAGAGGUGAAAUGUCCGAGCUCAACUCGGGAACUGCCUCUAAUACUGUUGAUCUAGAGAGUAGAUGCGGUAGGCGGAAUGUAUGGUGUAGCGGUGAAAUGCUUAGAGAUCAUACAGAACACCGAUUGCGAAGGCAGCUUACCAAUCUAUAUCUGACGUUGAGGCACGAAAGCGUGGGGAGCAAACAGG